GAUGAACGCUGGCGGCGUGCCUAAUACAUGCAAGUCGAGCGAACAGACGAGGAGCUUGCUCCUCUGACGUUAGCGGCGGACGGGUGAGUAACACGUGGAUAACCUACCUAUAAGACUGGGAUAACUUCGGGAAACCGGAGCUAAUACCGGAUAAUAUAUUGAACCGCAUGGUUCAAUAGUGAAAGACGGUUUUGCUGUCACUUAUAGAUGUAUCCGCGCCGCAUUAGCUAGUUGGUAAGGUAACGGCUUACCAAGGCAACGAUGCGUAGCCGACCUGAGAGGGUGAUCGGCCACACUGGAACUGAGACACGGUCCAGACACCUACGGGAGGCAGCAGUAGGGAAUAUUCCGCAAUGGGCGAAAGCAUGACGGAGCAACGCCGCGUGAGUGAUGAAGGUCUUCGGAUCGUAAAACUCUGUUAUUAGGGAAGAACAAAUGUGUAAGUAACUAUGCACGUCUUGACGGUAACUAAUCAGAAAGCAACGGCUAACUACGUG
rnacentral:rRNA from 1 species